rnacentral:lncRNA from 1 species
GGGGAUAGAAAUCAGAGGGGCGGAGCCCCCUCCUGUCCGGGCUCUAGCCUGGUCUAUACCUCUGCAACACCUUCUCUUGCUCACUCAAGAAGAAGUGACGUCUCUCGGGGUCCACAGAAUUCUCCCCAGGCCCCAUUAGUCGAACCUCCACUUCGACAUCCAAUCGAGGUGAGAAAAGAUGAUAGGAAUAAACCUGCACCCCCACCUCAAGGACAAGGGCACAAGUCGGUUGCCACCACUGCCGCCCCAUCUACCUCGAUUGAGGGUAUUGCCGUCCUCUCUUGGAGUGAGCCCGGUUGGAUCGUGAUCUCCUUGAAUCAGUGCUGCCCACUGUUGAUUUGGAGGCACGCUGAAAGAAUAAGCCAGAGGAGAUAGCCAACCAUGUCUUUGAGCACCUUAUGCAUGUAAGUCACUGGGUUCUUUCUUUUUUUUAAUUUUCUUUUAGCUCGGCAA